rnacentral:rRNA from 1 species
AGCAAACGCGAAGCCGUAGCGAAAGCGAGUCUGAAUAGGGCGCUUAGUCAGAUGCUGCAGACCCGAAACGAAGUGAUCUAUCCAUGAGCAAGUUGAAGCUAGUGUAAGAACUAGUGGAGGACUGAACCCAUAGGCGUUGAAAAGCCCCGGGAUGACUUGUGGAUAGGGGUGAAAGGCCAAUCAAACUUCGUGAUAGCUGGUUCUCUCCGAAAUAUAUUUAGGUAUAGCGUUGUGUCGUAAUAUAAGGGGGUAGAGCACUGAAUGGGCUAGGGCAUACACCAAUGUACCAAACCCUAUCAAACUCCGAAUACCUUAUAUGUAAUCACAGCAGUCAGGCGGCGAGUGAUAAAAUCCGUCGUCAAGAGGGAAACAACCCAGACUACCAGCUAAGGUCCCUAAAUCUUACUUAAGUGGAAAACGAUGUGAAGUUACUUAAACAACCAGGAGGUUGGCUUAGAAGCAGCCAUCCUUUAAAGAAAGCGUAAUAGCUCACUGGUCUAGUGAUUUUGCGCGGAAAAUAUAACGGGGCUAAAGUAAGUACCGAAGCUGUAGACUUGCGCACAACUUAGAUUAUUUAAGUUUAGAAUAUGAGAAACUAAGUUAUAUGUUUAGUUAUAUUUUUACUGAUUUUUAUAGAGUAAAGAUAGAAAUAAAACUUAGUAAAAUCAGUAAAAAUAUUCUUAGACUAAAGUUAAGUAGUUUAAGUUGUGUGCAAGUGGUAGGAGAGCGUUCUAUUUGCGUCGAAGGUAUACCGGUAAGGAGUGCUGGAGCGAAUAGAAGUGAGCAUGCAGGCAUGAGUAGCGAUAAUUAAUGUGAGAAUCAUUAACGCCGUAAACCCAAGGUUUCCUACGCGAUGCUCGUCAUCGUAGGGUUAGUCGGGUCCUAAGUCGAGUCCGAAAGGGGUAGACGAUGGCAAAUUGGUUAAUAUUCCAAUACCAACAUUAGUGUGCGAUGGAAGGACGCUUAGGGCUAAGGGGGCUAGCGGAUGGAAGUGCUAGUCUAAGGUCGUAGGAGGUUAUACAGGCAAAUCCGUAUAACAAUACUCCGAGAACUGAAAGGCUUUUUGAAGUCUUCGGAUGGAUAGAAGAACCCCUGAUGCCGUCGAGCCAAGAAAAGUUUCUAAGUUUAGCUAAUGUUGCCCGUACCGUAAACCGACACAGGUGGGUGGGAUGAGUAUUCUAAGGCGCGUGGAAGAACUCUCUUUAAGGAACUCUGCAAAAUAGCACCGUAUCUUCGGUAUAAGGUGUGGUUCGCUUCGUAUUAGGAUUUACUCCGAAAGCGAAGAAACUUACAACAAAGAGUCCCUCCCGACUGUUUACCAAAAACACAGCACUCUGCUAACUCGUAAGAGGAUGUAUAGGGUGUGACGCCUGCCCGGUGCUCGAAGGUUAAUUGAUGGGGUUAGCAUUAGCGAAGCUCUUGAUCGAAGCCCGAGUAAACGGCGGCCGUAACUAUAACGGUCCUAAGGUAGCGAAAUUCCUUGUCGGUUAAAUACCGACCUGCAUGAAUGGCGUAACGAGAUGGGAGCUGUCUCAAAGAGGGAUCCAGUGAAAUUGUAGUGGAGGUGAAAAUUCCUCCUACCCGCGGCAAGACGGAAAGACCCCGUGGACCUUUACUACAGCUUGACACUGCUAUUUGGAUAAGAAUGUGCAGGAUAGGUGGGAGGCUUUGAGUAUAUGACGCCAGUUGUAUAUGAGCCAUUGUUGAGAUACCACUCUUUCUUAUUUGGGUAGCUAACCAGCUUGAGUUAUCCUCAAGUGGGACAAUGUCUGGUGGGUAGUUUGACUGGGGCGGUCGCCUCCCAAAUAAUAACGGAGGCUUACAAAGGUUGGCUCAGAACGGUUGGAAAUCGUUCGUAGAGUAUAAAGGUAUAAGCCAGCUUAACUGCAAGACAUACAAGUCAAGCAGAGACGAAAGUCGGUCUUAGUGAUCCGGUGGUUCUGUGUGGAAGGGCCAUCGCUCAAAGGAUAAAAGGUACCCCGGGGAUAACAGGCUGAUCUCCCCCAAGAGCUCACAUCGACGGGGAGGUUUGGCACCUCGAUGUCGGCUCAUCGCAUCCUGGGGCUGGAGCAGGUCCCAAGGGUAUGGCUGUUCGCCAUUUAAAGCGGUACGCGAGCUGGGUUCAGAACGUCGUGAGACAGUUCGGUCCCUAUCUGCCGUGGGCGUAAGAAGAUUGAAGAGAUUUGACCCUAGUACGAGAGGACCGGGUUGAACAAACCACUGGUGUAGCUGUUGUUCUGCCAAGAGCAUCGCAGCGUAGCUAAGUUUGGAAAGGAUAAACGCUGAAAGCAUCUAAGCGUGAAGCCAACUCUAAGAUGAAUCUUCUCUAAGCUCUCUAGAAGACUACUAGUUUGAUAGGCUGGGUGUGUAAUGGAUGAAAGUCCUUUAGCUGACCAGUACUAAUAGAGCGUUUGGCUUAUCUUUAAUAAAGCAU